GAUAAACGCUAGCGGCAGGCUUGACACAUGCAAGUCGAGGGGCAGCAUAGAUUGUAGCAAUACAAUUGGUGGCGACCGGCGCACGGGUGCGUAACGCGUAUGCAACCUACCCGUCACAGGGGGAUAAUCCGGAGAAAUCUGGUCUAAUACCCCAUAACAUAUGGACCGGCAUCGGUUCAUGUGGAAAUUUUCGGAGGUGACGGAUGGGCAUGCGUAGCAUUAGCUGGUUGGUGAGGUAACGGCUCACCAAGGCGACGAUGCUUAGGGGGACUGAGAGGUUUUCCCCCCACACUGGUACUGAGACACGGACCAGACUCCUACGGGAGGCAGCAGUGAGGAAUAUUGGUCAAUGGGCGCAAGCCUGAACCAGCCAUGCCGCGUGCAGGAUGACGGCUCUAUGAGUUGUAAACUGCUUUUGUACGAGGGUAAAGUGGGUUACGUGUAACCUUUUGAAAGUAUCGUACGAAUAAGGAUCGGCUAACUCCGUGCCAGCCGCCGCCGUAA
rnacentral:rRNA from 1 species